GCAGUCGAGCGGACAGAAGGGAGCUUGCUCCCGGAUGUUAGCGGCGGACGGGUGAGUAACACGUGGGUAACCUGCCUGUAAGACUGGGAUAACUCCGGGAAACCGGAGCUAAUACCGGAUAGUUCCUUGAACCGCAUGGUUCAAGGAUGAAAGACGGUUUCGGCUGUCACUUACAGAUGGACCCGCGGCGCAUUAGCUAGUUGGUGAGGUAACGGCUCACCAAGGCGACGAUGCGUAGCCGACCUGAGAGGGUGAUCGGCCACACUGGGACUGAGACACGGCCCAGACUCCUACGGGAGGCAGCAGUAGGGAAUCUUCCGCAAUGGACGAAAGUCUGACGGAGCAACGCCGCGUGAGUGAUGAAGGUUUUCGGAUCGUAAAGCUCUGUUGUUAGGGAAGAACAAGUGCAAGAGUAACUGCUUGCACCUUGACGGUACCUAACCAGAAAGCCACGGCUAACUACGUGCCAGCAGCCGCGGUAAUACGUAGGUGGCAAGCGUUGUCCGGAAUUAUUGGGCGUAAAGGGCUCGCAGGCGGUUUCUUAAGUCUGAUGUGAAAGCCCCCGGCUCAACCGGGGAGGGUCAUUGGAAACUGGGAAACUUGAGUGCAGAAGAGGAGAGUGGAAUUCCACGUGUAGCGGUGAAAUGCGUAGAGAUGUGGAGGAACACCAGUGGCGAAGGCGACUCUCUGGUCUGUAACUGACGCUGAGGAGCGAAAGCGUGGGGAGCGAACAGGAUUAGAUACCCUGGUAGUCCACGCCGUAAACGAUGAGUGCUAAGUGUUAGGGGGGUUUCCGCCCCUUAGUGCUGCAGCUAACGCAUUAAGCACUCCGCCUGGGGGAGUACGGUCG
rnacentral:rRNA from 1 species